CCUAACACCACCAUAUUAAAGAGACCAUGCAUUAGGUGCCACAUCCAGCCCUGACAUAAACAUUUCCAGGGACUCCACCGCCUUCCUGGGAAGCCCAUUCCAAUAUCCAAUCAUACUUUCCGUGAAUAAUUGCUUCUUGAUGUCCAACCUAAACUCCCCUCAUGCAGCUUAUGACUGUUUCCUUUCAUCCUGUCAGUUGUUGCCUGGGAGAAGAUGCCAACCCUCAUCUUGCUGCAGCCUCCAGUGAGGGAGUUGUAGAGAGUUAUAAGGUCUCUCCUGAGCCUCCUCUUCUCCAGGCUAAUUAAUCCCUGCUCCUCACAGGACAUGUACUCCAGACUCUCCAACAAUUCUAUUACCCUUCUCUGCUCCAGCACGUCCUUCCAAACUGAGGGGCCGAAAACUGGACGGAGAACUCAAGAUGUGACCUCACAAUGCCAUGUACAGGGGGACUGUCACUGCUCUGGUUCUGCUGGCCAAACUACUGCUGAUGUAGGUGAGGUUAUCUUUGGCCUUCUUGGCCAGCUGGGCACAGCUGGAUCAUGUUCAGCUGCUGUAAAACAGCAUCCCCAGAAGAAUGGACUGCCUGAUAUCCAGAUGCUGACCCUAACCAAUGCUUCAAUAUGGUGUGAAUAUUUCUACAACAGGAACUGACAAAAGAUGCAACUGAGACUCUCACUAACACCAAAUUUGGUAUGAAAUAUAUUGCUAAUGAGCUAUCAGACCUGAUCUAGAGGGUGAUCAGCAUUUCUUGACACAGCACCCAAGAGAAACAGCAACAGCAACUGCAAAGAUGUCUGUGUUCUCUGCCACGUCACUACCCAAAAUCCAUGGAUACGUGUCGUGGCAUGCUCGGUGUUAGGUGCUUGACAGGGGAGCGACACCUGCCCCAGGACCUCCUGUGAAGUUACCAAAGGAUCAACGUAAAAAUAGUAAAAAAGGACAUUCCUUGUGCUGCAUAGAGGAACCAGACUUGUUUUCCUGAUGUUCCUGCUGAGUCCUCAGUUGCCAGCUCUCAGCCAGCCGGCCCCUUGAGAAGGUACAUCAGACCUGAACAUGAACACAGCGCUACUGAGCAAAGAGCAACAAUGAAAACCAGCAACAUCCAA